GGAGAGCAGUGAUUCUGUUCGUUAUGCUCAUGGAGGUGCCUCAUGCCUGUAGCAGUGUGGUACACAGUAGGUGUUUAAUCAGUGCCUGGUACACAUUAGGCGUUUAAUCAGUGCAUGACUUCAGCUUAAAGCGACCUUGAUGCACAAUCCCUUCACCACCCAUUCCUCACCCCCGCCCUGCUGUGUGAUUUUCCCCACAGGCGAGGGAGAAGCUGCCAUCCCCCUGCAGGGAGUGUCUGGCGGAGAGUCAGCCACCCCCAGCACUCCUUCGGCCGUCAAAGUCAUCAGGAAAGAGCUUAUUCCCUGCUAUCCCUGUGGCCUCCAAGAUAAAACCCGGCCUCAGUUUCCGUGCAGGUUAUUGGCACUCCGAUCUGUCCCUGUGGUGAAAGCAGAUUUAUGGGUGUCAGUGCUCCUUGAAGGGUGUCCACCAGCUGUUCCCAGCCUGCACCAAGGGAAGCACAGAAGUUGAGAAGACCUAUACGGCAAUUCGAUGGUGCCACAAUUGGUGAUCAACGGCCUAGAUCCUGCAUUUUUAUUUUUAUUUUUAUUUUAUUAUUAUUAUUUUUGAGAUGGAGUUUCACUCUUGUUGUCCAGGCUGGAGUGCAAUGGUGUGAUCUUGGCUCACUGCAAUCUCCACCUCCUGGGUGCAAGCGAUUCUCCUGCCUCAGCCUCCUGAGUAGCUGGGACUAUAGUCACGCUCCACCAAGCCUGGAUAAUUUUUGUAUUUUUAAUAGAGAUGGGGUUUCACCAUGUGGGCCAGGCUGGUCUCGAACUUCUGGCCUCAAGCGAUCUGCCCUCCUUGGCCUCCCGAAGUGCUGAGAUUACAGGAGUGAGCCACUGCUCCUGGCCCCUCUUCUGUUUGAGGGUGAUGUCUGAUUAAACUUUGUUCAGUAAACCCAGAAAAUCAUCUUUAUUGCCAUGUAACAACCAGCUGAAAGAAGAAAGAAGGAAAGGAAGGGCAUAGCUGCUGCUGGAGAAGGGACAAAGACCCAAGAGCUGAGCGUAGGGUAGUGUCAGAGGCAUCUUAACCAGAGUGACGCCAUCUUUAAUAAAGGCCCGACAAAGCCAAACCUGCCGGUGACAUUCCCAGGGUGUUGGGCCCUUUCGGUCAUAAGAUGUUUAUGGUCAAGGAACAAGUUAAUGAUGUUAACUAGGCCAGGCGCAGUGACUCGCGCAUGUAAUCCCAGCCCUUUGGGAGUCCAAGGUGGAUGGAUCACGAGGUCAGGAUAUUGAGACCAUCCUGGCUAACACGGUGAAACCCCGUCUCUACUAAAAAUACAAAAAAUUAGCCGGGCGUGGUGGCAGGCGCCUGUAGUCCCAGCUACUCGGGAGGCUGAGGCAGGAGAAUGGCGUGAACCCGGGAGGCGGAGUUGCAGUGAGCCGAGAUUACAUCACUGCACUCCAGCCUGGGCGACAGAGCCAGACUCCGUCUCAAAAAAAAAAAAAAAAAAAAAAAAAUUAGCCAGGCGUGGCGGUGGGCACCUGUAGUCCCAGCUACAUGGGAGGCUGAGGCAGGAGAAUGGCAUGAACCCGGGAGGCAGAGCUUGCAGUGAGCCGAGAUCGCACCACUGCACUCCAGCCUGGGUAACUCCGUCUCAAAAAAAAAAAAAAAAAUGAUGUUAACAAAUGUAAUAAAGAUCCAGAACUCAUGGAAAUGACCCAGUGCUUUAAGAACAAAAAUCAUGUUUAGUUUAAGAAUAGGUUUUGCUUUAAAAAUAAUAAGACACUCUUAAAUUCUUGCUGAAAUCAACAGUAAUGUAGGGAAGUAACAAUACUAAUAGCCAGUCACAAGCUGAUCACAAGCCUUUGAAAUAAAGUAUAUUAUUCCU
rnacentral:lncRNA from 1 species